rnacentral:rRNA from 1 species
AGUGAACGCUGGCGGUAGGCCUAACACAUGCAAGUCGAACGGCAGCACAGGAGAGCUUGCUCUCUGGGUGGCGAGUGGCGGACGGGUGAGGAAUACAUCGGAAUCUACUUUUUCGUGGGGGAUAGCGUAGGGAAACUUACGCUAAUACCGCAUACGACCUACGGGUGAAAGCAGGGGACCUUCGGGCCUUGCGCGAUUGAAUGAGCCGAUGUCGGAUUAGCUAGUUGGCGGGGUAAAGGCCCACCAAGGCGACGAUCCGUAGCUGGUCUGAGAGGAUGAUCAGCCACACUGGAACUGAGACACGGUCCAGACUCCUACGGGAGGCAGCAGUGGGGAAUAUUGGACAAUAGGCGCAAGCCUGAUCCAGCCAUACCGCGUGGGUGAAGAAGGCCUUCGGGUUGUAAAGCCCUUUUGUUGGGAAAGAAAUCCAGCUGGCUAAUACCCGGUUGGGAUGACGGUACCCAAAGAAUAAGCACCGGCUAACUUCGUGCCAGCCGCCGCGGUAA